CCCUUAGAUGUUCUGAACCGCACGCGUGUUACACUGAUGCAUUCAACGAGCUUUACCUUGGCCGAGAGGCCUGGGCAAUCUUGUUAACGUGCAUCGUGAUAGGGAUAGAUUAUUGAAAUUAUUAAUCUUGAACGAGGAAUUCCUAGUAAACGCAGAUCAUCAAUCUGCAUUGAUUACGUCCCUGCCCUUUGUACACACCGCCCGUCGCACCUACCGAUUGGAUGGUCCGGUGAAGCCUCGGGAUUGUGGUUCUUGCCGCUUUAUUGUGGCGUGACCGCGAGAACUUGUCUAAACCUUAUCAUCUAGAGGAAGGUGAAGUCGUAACA
rnacentral:rRNA from 1 species